rnacentral:rRNA from 1 species
AUUGAACGCUGGCGGCAGGCCUAACACAUGCAAGUCGAGCGGCAGCGGGGGAAAGCUUGCUUUCCCGCCGGCGAGCGGCGGACGGGUGAGUAAUGUCUGGGAAACUGCCUGAUGGAGGGGGAUAACUACUGGAAACGGUAGCUAAUACCGCAUAAUGUCUUCGGACCAAAGUGGGGGACCUUCGGGCCUCAUGCCAUCAGAUGUGCCCAGAUGGGAUUAGCUAGUAGGUGGGGUAACGGCUCACCUAGGCGACGAUCCCUAGCUGGUCUGAGAGGAUGACCAGCCACACUGGAACUGAGACACGGUCCAGACUCCUACGGGAGGCAGCAGUGGGGAAUAUUGCACAAUGGGCGCAAGCCUGAUGCAGCCAUGCCGCGUGUAUGAAGAAGGCCUUCGGGUUGUAAAGUACUUUCAGCGGGGAGGAAGGUGUUGUGGUUAAUAACCGCAGCAAUUGACGUUACCCGCAGAAGAAGCACCGGCUAACUCCGUGCCAGCCGCCGCAGUAAUAC